GAUGCUUGGAAGGCCGUGCAGUGGUAAGAGUGGGGCAUUUGUGAUGCUCUGCCGAGUUCUACCCAGUACUAAAGCAAU
rnacentral:lncRNA from 1 species